AGUGCACGAACAGACGUGCACUGUGUUGGUGAAGAAGAAAUCUUCCAUAUUGUGGCGCAAACCUAACAAGUUAUAACGGCCAGACCUCCUGUUUAAAAAGAAGCCGAAGUUUGAUACCUAAUACAUAUGAGUUUAGCCACGUGAAGACCCAGGCUAGCCUAAGGACAGGUGGGGAGGACAAAGUUGGCUAAUGAAGACAUGCUACGAUGUGGAGGAUGAUGAUAAGGACCAGCCACCAGAGAAAGAAGUUCCUAUUUGACCAAAGAGAAAGAAGCAGAUGAAAUAUUCCCCAAGAAAAUUAGUGACCACAAUGAAUUGAGUCAUCACCGACUAUGAGAAUGUCCAGAAGAAAUUUACCAAGUUUGAAUUCAU